CCACGACAGUGAAGACACUUACUUCUGGUAGUUAUUAGUUGGCGCCAGUGUUCGGCAGUGGAGCCAUCAGUGUGUGUGGGACUGUGACUGUAAAACGCUUUGGACUUCUGAGGAAGAGACAUCUGAACCAAGAACAGCUUAAGUCUAAAGGCAAUGGGUUACUAAAACGACCCAUUACCCUUACCCUGGAGCUGGAGGAAGAAAACACGCUGAUCUUUCGUUGGAGCAUAAGGUGUCUGAUGUGAAGUCUCCAUGCGUGCGAGCAGAAGCGCAGAGACACACAUCACAGCGGGGACACAUUCGACUCUUAGAUCCUUGCCUGUGCAGAAUCACUCUGUAGGACGGCUGUUGUCAAUCACACAUAAAGGAAAAAGAGGGGAAAAGUCUGUCUCCCUGUUCGCCGUACAGCUGUCACUCAUCACCUCCUUCCUCUUCGUCAGCUUUGCCCCGACUUACACGAAUUUCUCGAAAGCCGUUAUGGAAAUUCUGCCUCUUGUUUUGACAUAUGAAUAAUUGUGUGCCACAUAAAGUAUUGUUUACAACCACGAAAACCUCUUUUUGACUGAUACAGAGCUCUGGCAGGGGGGCAAAUCCCAUCCAUAACUGCCUGAAAAUGUGCAAUGCAGAUAAAAUGGUGAUGGUCAACUGGUGUGUUUUUUGGGGGAGAAACUGACGAUGGAGCGCCCGCAGUUUGUCACAUUUUGCUGAUUCAUUUCUCAAGAAAGUGUGUGUACCAAAAAGAGGUGACCAGCGACAUUUUUCUUGUCUUGCACAGCUAAUACCAAAACACCUG